GUUUUAGCCGGAGUUUCUCAGGCGUCUUUAGUUUUCCGGCCGCGAGUCACCGGAGCUUUCAGGAGCAACAAUUUUUCAGUUAGACGCCUUCAAUUUCAAUCUACAAUCGGUGGAGGAAUUUCCUUUGAUUGUAAGACAGUAGUAUCUGCUAUCCGUGCGACCGAUUCCAAAAAUGAAGACAUUGACAUUUAUCCAGAUACUACUGGCGGUGACUCUUCCGAUAAAGGGAUUGGAGGAGGUGGUAGCGGCGGAGGUAAAGGUGGUAGAGGUGAUAAUGAUGGAAAUAACGGGGAGGAAGAGGAAUCUAAUGCCAAUAGCCGGAAGAAUGCUUUGUCAAUGUCGCAGAAAUUAACUCUUGGAUAUGCUGCACUAGUAGGAGUUGGUGGCUUAAUGGGAUAUUUGAAAGGUGGCAGCCAAAAGUCACUAUUGGCAGGGGGAGUCUCAGCCUCACUGUUACUUGUUGUCUUUAAACUACUCCCCAGCAAUCCUGUUCUUGCAUCGUCCUUGGGUCUUG
rnacentral:misc_RNA from 1 species